rnacentral:rRNA from 1 species
AGCGGAAGGCCCUUCGGGGUACUCGAGCGGCGAACGGGUGAGUAACACGUGAGUAACCUGCCCCAGACUUUGGGAUAACCCUCGGAAACGGGGGCUAAUACCGGAUAUGACUGCUGAUCGCAUGGUUGGUGGUGGAAAGUUUUUCGGUUUGGGAUGGACUCGCGGCCUAUCAGCUUGUUGGUGGGGUAAUGGCCUACCAAGGCGACGACGGGUAGCCGGCCUGAGAGGGCGACCGGCCACACUGGGACUGAGACACGGCCCAGACUCCUACGGGAGGCAGCAGUGGGGAAUAUUGCACAAUGGGCGGAAGCCUGAUGCAGCGACGCCGCGUGAGGGAUGACGGCCUUCGGGUUGUAAACCUCUUUCAGCAGGGACGAAGCGCAAGUGACGGUACCUGCAGAAGAAGCGCCGGCCAACUACGUGCCAGCAGCCGCGGUAAGACGUAGGGCGCGAGCGUUGUCCGGAUUUAUUGGGCGUAAAGAGCUCGUAGGCGGCUUGUCGCGUCGAAUGUGAAAACUUGGGGCUCAACUCCAAGCUUGCAUUCGAUACGGGCAGGCUAGAGUUCGGUAGGGGAGACUGGAAUUCCUGGUGUAGCGGUGAAAUGCGCAGAUAUCAGGAGGAACACCGGUGG